rnacentral:rRNA from 1 species
UACGAAGGGGGCUAGCGUUGCUCGGAAUCACUGGGCGUAAAGGGUGCGUAGGCGGGUCUUUAAGUCAGAGGUGAAAUCCUGGAGCUCAACUCCAGAACUGCCUUUGAUACUGAAGAUCUUGAGUUCGGGAGAGGUGAGUGGAACUGCGAGUGUAGAGGUGAAAUUCGUAGAUAUUCGCAAGAACACCAGUGGCGAAGGCGGCUCACUGGCCCGAUACUGACGCUGAGGCACGAAAGCGUGGGGCGCAAACAGG